rnacentral:rRNA from 1 species
GACGAACGCUGGCGGCGUGCUUAACACAUGCAAGUCGAACGGAAAGGCCCUGCUUUUGCGGGGUGCUCGAGUGGCGCACGGGUGAGUAACACGUGAGUAACCUGCCCUUGACUUUGGGAUAACUUCAGGAAAAUGGGGAUCAUACCGGAUAGAAGCUCUUGCUGCAUGGUGGGGGUUGGAGAGUUUCGGCGGUUGGGGAUGGACUCGCGGCUUAUCAGCUUGUUGGUGGGGUAGUGGCUUACCAAGGCUUUGACGGGUAGCCGGCCUGAGAGGGUGACCGGCGACAAUGGGACUGAGAGACGGCCCAGACUCCUACGGGAGGCAGAGGGCGGAAACAUGGCACAGUGGGCGGGAGCCUGAUGCAGCAACGCCGCGUGCGGGAUGACGGCUUUCGAGUGAAAAACCGCUUUCGCCGGAGCCGAAGCGGGAGUGACGGUAAUGAGUAAGGAAGCACCGGCUAACUACGUG